UCUAAGCACAUGCCUUAAAACGGUGAAGCCGCGAAUAGCUCAUUACAACAGCCAUCGUUUAUUAGAAUAUCGUUAUCCUACUUGGAUAACUGUGGCAAUUCUAGAGCUAAUACAUGCAAUAAAGCUCUGCCCGCAAGGAACGAGCGCAUUUAUUAGAAUCAAAACCAAUCGGGUUUCGGCCCGUAAUUUGGUGAAUCUGAAUAACUUUGCCAAUCGCACAGUCCUAGUACUGGCGAUGUAUCUUUCAAGUGUCUGCCUUAUCAACUUUCGAUGGUACGCUAUACGCCUACCAUGGUAGUAACGGGUAACGGAGAAUAAGGGUUCGACUCCGGAGAGGGAGCCUGAGAAACGGCUACCACAUCCAAGGAAGGCAGCAGGCGCGCAAAUUACCCACUUCCAGAACGGAGAGGUAGUGACGAAAAAUAACGAGACAGUCCUCUUCGAGGUCUGUCAUCGGAAUGGGUACAAUUUAAA
rnacentral:rRNA from 1 species